rnacentral:rRNA from 1 species
AUGAAGACCCGUAUGAAAGGCAAAACGAGGGCUUUACUGUCUCCUCUCUCCAGUCAAUGAAAUUGAUCUCCCCGUGCAGAAGCGGGGAUCAAAACAUAAGACGAGAAGACCCUGUGGAGCUUAAGACUAAAGGCAAAGUCCACUUAGACCCUAAAAUAAAAGAAUAAACAUGUCUUUUGCCCGUGUGUC